UUCGCCCACAGCUCUUACUAAUCCUCACCAGCAUCAUCCUGAGCAGCAUUAUCCGGAAGAGGAAAUACUUCUGAGCUCUGUGUGCGGGGUGCUGCUAGGGACACAAGACCAAGGCUUCAUGCGAUGUGCCCGACUGAGCACUGGAAAGCCAAGGAUUAAUAACUACUAACUUGUUCUUCUGUCAUUUGGGUGGAGCGGUUUAAGGAGGCCUCCUACAAGAAUUACACAAAUGAAGUCCUAAUAUGCCAUAAUGAUACCAGAGAUGUUCCAGUGCAUCGGAUCAAUAUACCUAUCAUUUUGACAAGAUGGGGACUGCAAGUUACUUUCCUGGAUCAUUUGAUGACAGACCCUGAGAAUUCUAAGCUCAUCUCUGCUUCCUUCUGCAUAAGGUUGCCAUCCCCAUACUACAGGAACCAUGACUGCAGGCAGCUCUGAACUUAAAUCAUCAUAAACCACAGAGGAAAUGUCAUUCUUCAAUCCCAACUUCAUUAAUGAUAAUUUCACAAUUCGCAGGUGAGAUCACUGAUGACCCCGACGUGGGUUGCGUGCCCAUCUCUGCAGCAAUCCCUGGGGCUAUGAGGACGAGGUAUUAUAACU